rnacentral:rRNA from 1 species
UAUCUGGGUCACCUCCAUCCGUGUUUAUUUUACCUUGCUGCUUCGGCGGGCCCGCCUUACCUGGCCGGCGGGGGGCUUACGCCCCCGGGCCCGCGCCCGCCGAAGACACCCUCGAACUCUGUCUGAAGAUUGAAGUCUGAGUGAAAAUAUAAAUUAUUUAAAACUUUCAACAACGGAUCUCUUGGUUCCGGCAUCGAUGAAGAACGCAGCAAAAUGCGAUACGUAAUGUGAAUUGCAAAUUCAGUGAAUCAUCGAGUCUUUGAACGCACAUUGCGCCCCCUGGUAUUCCGGGGGGCAUGCCUGUCCGAGCGUCAUUGCUGCCCUCAAGCCCGGCUUGUGUGUUGGGCCCCGUCCCCCGAUCUCCGGGGGACGGGCCCAAAAGGCAGCGGCGGCACCGCGUCCGGUCCUCGAGCGUAUGGGGCUUUGUCACCCGCUCGGUAGGCCCGGCCGGCGCUUGCCGAUCAACCCAAAUUUUUAUCCAGGUUGACCUCCGAUCAGGUACGGAUACCCGCUGAACUUAAGCAUAUCGAUAAGCGGAGGAAAAACA